GCUGGCGGCAUGCCUUACACAUGCAAGUCGAACGGCAGCGCGGAGGGGUAACUUUCUGGCGGCGAGUGGCGAACGGGUGAGUAAAAUAUCGGAACGUACCCGGGAGUGGGGGAUAACUCGUUGAAAGAUGAGCUAAUACCGCAUACGUCCUGAGGGAGAAAGUGGGGGAUUCGCAAGGACCUCACGCUCACGGAGCGGCCGAUAACUGAUUAGCUUGUUGGUGAGGUAAAGGCUCACCAAGGCGAUGAUCAGUAGCUGGUCUGAGAGGACGACCAGCCACACUGGAACUGAGACACGGUCCAGACUCCUACGGGAGGCAGCAGUGGGGAAUUUUGGACAAUGGGGGCAACCCUGAUCCAGCAAUGCCGCGUGAGUGAAGAAGGCCUUCGGGUUGUAAAGCUCUUUUGUCGGGGAAGAAACGGCGUUUUCUAAUAAAGGACGCUACUGACGGUACCUGAAGAAUAAGCACCGGCUAACUACGUGCCAGCAGCCGCGGUAAUACGUAGGGUGCAAGCGUUAAUCGGAAUUACUGGGCGUAAAGCGUGCGCAGGCGGUUUGUUAAGUCA
rnacentral:rRNA from 1 species